GGGUUGAACCUAAAUUUUUAUGGUUUAAUUUGAAAUGACUUAAAUUCCAACCCAAACUGACCCAUGCCCACCCUUCGAGCAUACAUGGGCUCCGAAUCUGAAAAAGAGUACGAUGAAAGCAGAAACCCGUUGAAGAGGGAGCUUGAAAUGGAGUGGAGAGGUUGUCGGUCAUUGUGAGCUGUUGGAUCAAUGUGGGUCUAGAAUAAUCUGAUGGCCUUAAUUGAGUAUUGUUUAUUGGAGACACAGAGAAGGGGCUUAGGAUAUGAUAGUCGAGAAAAGGAAUACGAACGGUUAAGGUUUGGUGUCAGUACGAGUGGAGAAGAUAAUAAUGAUAACGCCAUAACCAUACAGAGAGCAAAGGCAAGCAAGUGCAAGCCAAAUGAAUUUUACGAUUAGUUUACCUUUAUAUAAUUACAAAAAUACCCCAAACUUAAUAUCCAAAUGAGAAAUGAUUGAUAUGUUGAACCGUUCAAUUUCGAUGCGACUCUCUUGCCAUGGAUGGUGAAAUGGUAAAUAAAAAAAUUUAUUAAAAAAAUUAUAAAAUUGACAUUUAAAACUCUUUUUGUUGGUAAAUUUCAUGGGUUAGAUACUUUCAAGAGCUCCAGCUACCAUAGCAAAUGGUUUCAAAUAAUUUUAUUUGAUUAACCAAUGGUUUUAAUUUGACUUGAUGUGCUACUCAAAUUUGAAUUUUAGGAAAAGUAAGAAACUAA
rnacentral:lncRNA from 1 species